UCUAGAUGAUGAUAAAUCAAAUUUCAGUUCUGCUUCUGAACCAAAUAUUCAUGAAGAUAACAAAUUUAUUACCAAAAAUUAUUCUGAUCU
rfam:Pichia membranifaciens DNA, contig: CON125, strain: KS47-1.